rnacentral:rRNA from 1 species
GAUGAACGCUGGCGGCGUGCCUAAUACAUGCAAGUCGAGCGAAUGGAUUAAGAGCUUGCUCUUAUGAAGUUAGCGGCGGACGGGUGAGUAACACGUGGGUAACCUGCCCAUAAGACUGGGAUAACUCCGGGAAACCGGGGCUAAUACCGGAUAACAUUUUGAACCGCAUGGUUCGAAAUUGAAAGGCGGCUUCGGCUGUCACUUAUGGAUGGACCCGCGUCGCAUUAGCUAGUUGGUGAGGUAACGGCUCACCAAGGCAACGAUGCGUAGCCGACCUGAGCGGGUGAUCGGCCACACUGGGACUGAGACACGGCCCAGACUCCUACGGGAGGCAGCAGUAGGGAAUCUUCCGCAAUGGACGAAAGUCUGACGGAGCAACGCCGCGUGAGUGAUGAAGGCUUUCGGGUCGUAAAACUCUGUUGUUAGGGAAGAGCAAGUGCUAGUUGAAUAGGCUGGCACCUUGACGGUACCUAACCAGAAAGCCACGGCUAACUACGUGCCAGCCGCCGCAGUAA